AUUGAACGCUGGCGGCAUGCCUUACACAUGCAAGUCGAACGGCAGCACGGGAGCAAUCCUGGUGGCGAGUGGCGAACGGGUGAGUAAUAUAUCGGAACGUGCCCAGUCGUGGGGAUAACGUAGCGAAAGCUACGCUAAUACCGCAUACGAUCUAUGGAUGAAAGCGGGGGAUCGCAAGACCUCGCGCGAUUGGAGCGGCCGAUAUCAGAUUAGGUAGUUGGUGAGGUAAAGGCUCACCAAGCCGACGAUCUGUAGCUGGUCUGAGAGGACGACCAGCCACACUGGGACUGAGACACGGCCCAGACUCCUACGGGAGGCAGCAGUGGGGAAUUUUUGGACAAUGGGCGCAAGCCUGAUCCAGCAAUGCCGCGUGCAGGAUGAAGGCCUCGGUUGUAACGUAG
rnacentral:rRNA from 1 species